AGACCUUCAACAGAUAGUGGAAAACUUGUCGGUGGAAGGCAAACCAAAAACAGAGGAGGCAUAAAGAAAACAGAGUAUCAGCUCUUCUUCUAUUUACAAGUAUACAAAACCAAAACACAAGAAAAUGUGAUAGCAAAAAACAACCCCAAAGAGAAAAGCCAAAACAAAAAGGAAAGCAGAAGAUCAUCACUCAUCACACAGAGGUGCUGAGAAUUGUUUUAGGGUCUGUAUGGUUAACGUCCUGUGAAUUUUGUAUAGCUCCACAAGUGCGCUGAUGGCUGUAUUUUUGUAAGCCAUUCCAGGAUUAGUGACUGACCAGCUGAUCUCCUCUAAGUUGAGCACUUCCUAUCUUCUGUAAGUAAGAAGCCAUCCAAAACAAAUAGCAGCUCAUUUAGUCAUCCGCUCUGCAUUUUCGGUCAGAGCUUUCUCCUUUACCUUGUUUCCGCGGAGUUGCAGUUUGCAAGUGAAAGUGACCCCAACUCUGCUUAUUUAUGUAGCCGCUCAAGGUAUUUUCUUCUUUCGGUUUCUCUCUCUCUCUCUGUCUUUCACUCACUCUUUUUGGCCUUUUCAGUCUCAGAAAAUUUUUCUGAAUACUGAAUAGUAUUGUUUCAGAAGCAAAGUUUCUGCAAUUUUUUCUACUUAUUUCUACUUGGCUUGCUUUAUUUAAUACCUAAUUUCUUCAAAAUAUUUCUUUAAUGAUUGAUUACUUAGGUGGAGUGUCCCUUCACAAUGGGAGGUCGUGGCUUUCAAAAAUUUAUAUAUAUUUUAUAUAUUUUUAAUAAGUUUUCAAAAUAAUAUUUUAUUAAAUUAUUAAUAUAAAUUAAAAAUAAUAAAAUGAUUUUACAAAUUCAUUUAACUUUAUCAUA